UCUGAAUAAUUUGGGAAUAAGAGGCCCUGAUUUUCAUUUUGCACCAGGCCCUGUAAAUUAUGUAACUAGUUCUGCCUGGUAGAGAAUAAUGCUUUGUGGAAUAUUUGUUGACUGGGUGGCAAGAAGGAGCCAGCUGUGAGACAAACCUGCAGAUGGUUGUACCAGCACAGCUUAACUCAACCAGGAUCUCCUGACAAAUGAUGAGACCUGAGACAUCAUGAAAAAAUGGCAGAAUUUCAGGCAAACUGGGAAUCGGACAGGACUGUCUUCUAUUCCUCAGGCCACAUGCAUCUCAGCAUCUGCCUCCAGAGAAUCCCACCAGCAACGCUGCCUGGAAUCAUAGAGCUAGUGACUGGUGAGGCUGGAUUUCCGACAUAGCCGUCUCCACACAAUCGCAGUUCCACAGCAGUUUACCAAACCGACUCAUGGGAUAGACUCAAGUUCCUUAGGGUGACAUUCAAACUGUGUAAUUUGAUUCCAAUCUUCUAGGCUCACCUUACUUGCCACACUCUGCACUAAGAGCCCUAUUCCAUUGCCAUACCAAGAGUUCACUCAAGAGGCAUUUUGACUGGAAGGCCCUCCUUCCUCCCAUCGAGGACCUUCCAAAUCUAGCUGGGAUAUCAUCUGUGAGGUCUUUCUGAUACCCCUAGAGAGCAAGAAACAUCACAGGGUCAUGACGAAAGCCCAGUCCAUCAUGCCUAGUUCGAAUUCCAGCUCCAUGACAUAGCUGUGUGACUUAGAAUUCUGUAACUCCAACUCCUAUCUUUAAUACAGGGCUAAUAAAAAUAAAUUCACUGGGCUGUCUAUUAAAUAAAAUCUGUACGUCACCCAGGCCAAUGCUCCUCAACUUUUAAUGGGCAGAGAUAUGUCCUGAACAUCUUGUUAAAAUGCAGAUUCUGAAUCAGUGGGUCUGGAGUAGGGCCAAAGAUUAUGCAUUUCUAACAAGGACCCAGGAGAUGUAGUCCCUGGUGGUCUGCCGACCACCCUUGGAGUAGGAAGGUCCUAGCUCAGAACCUGGCACUUUGUAGUCAGUCAGUGAUAUUUGCUUUGUCCCACCCCCAGCUCCACUCCUUCCUCUUGGCACCUAUAAUAUUUUGUUCCCAUCACUUGCAUUAUGUUCACUACACAUACUUUAGUUAGUUGUUAUAGUCGUGUCUCCUGCCAGACUGUGAGCAAAUUGAGAAUAGAAAUUGUAUUACCUUUCUCUCAGUAUCACCAGGACCCAGUGUAGGGCCAGGUAUAUAAAAAGGAAUCAAUAAGUAUUUGAUGAACUCAGCCUAUAAAAUGUAAAUAAAAAUAUCAAUUCUGCCUGUCUCAACAAGUUAUUGUAACAAGCGAAUGCGACAAUUUGGGAGAACGUGGAAGCAUGGAUCGUGUGAUAGAAAUAUAAAGCAUUACUAUCCAUUCAGUUUUCCACUCUGCAUCAGCUCAGACUUAUGCAGUUGAUGCAUGUUUACUUGUGGCAGUUACUCAGACUCUGAU